rnacentral:lncRNA from 1 species
CGUAAUUUUGCAAAGUAAAAAGUAAAUAUGUUAGGUUGAUAAUUACGCACUACACUGCAGUGAUAGACUAACCAUUGAUCGGGGUAUCACGAAAAUUCGGCUGACGUAAUCUCUGUUUGUAAAAGGGAAUGGUGCCAGUGUUGGUGAGGGUCCACGCUUUUUACACAAUUGUUGGCUCUCCCACAAUGAUAUAGCUUGGCACGGUCGACUGUUGGG